GCCAGUGUGGUGUAGUGGUUUGAGCGCUGAAAUAUGACUCUAGAGAUCAGGGUUCGAGUCCUAGCUCAGCCA